rnacentral:misc_RNA from 1 species
AAUCCUCGCAAUCUGUUUCUCUCUCUAUGGCACGAAAUGGUGCCAAACAUUGUCUUUUCCCUAACCAACCAUCACAGGUCACCAAACAACUACAAAUCCACUGCCAAAAGACUGCUCAGACCGAGGCAAUUCCAGCGCAGCAAGUCUGAUCACUGGAUGUAGCCCAAAACGAAGAUCAUUUCAGGUAAGAUCCUAACCCAAAUCACGACCCAAUUGAAACUUAACAAUUUUCAGCUACUAAGCCUCUCGCACCCCUCUAUGUCCCCUUGCGACCACAUUCCCAUUGUCAGACUUCCUUCCCACAUCCCUAGAUAACCUGACACUCAUCUUCCAAAUCUGCAACUAAGCUCACACCAACAACUGUGAGCAUGAAGCACAAGAUCCCAUGCUUGUCCUUGCCACAUCAGUCAGCCAUGUCAUAGCUCAACACCACAUCACUGACACACCAGCACUACAUCAGCAUCCAAUCUGCCACAUAAACAAAAUUUUGACAAGACCCCUCCUUGCUAAUUUCAACGUGUUGAUUCUAGCUUUGAUGCCCAUGUUGAGCAAAAAUUACUAUUAAACUGUUUAAAUGGUUCAAAUUGUGUUUUUAGUGAGACUUCAUGUUG